CCCUACACCAUGGGAUGGAGCUUGCCCUGACUCAUCUGCCAGGGAUGGUCCCCUCGUCUGUUUUAAGGCAUUUUAAGUCCUUCUGCUUGGAAAUGAAAAUACUGAGGAACAACACAUUUAAGAAAAGAAGGUAAAAACCAACCCUGUUUCUACUUGAAGAAUGCAAGAGUUUCCACACUUCUAGCCAAGAACCACCUGGAGAACCUGUGAAAACUCAGCUGUGUCCCACUCUCUCCGUGAUUCUGUUUCAGUAGAAUCAACAGCUCUGGGGCGGAGCCAGAUGAUUUCCCUUCCUCACAAGCUCCCAGGUGCUGCUGCUGCUGGCUUAUAUGAGAACCAAUGUUCUAAAGAGUACUGGCAUAAUAACAUCUUGUUAAAUUAAUGCCAAACGCAAUAUAGACACUACAGGGCUUUGAAAAACAACACAGAGAAUGAACAAAACUUAAAGACUGAAAUGAGUACUCUUCAAAUAAGACAAACUCCUGCUCUUUUUGGGCUGACUCUAAAGAUACAUCGUGGACUUCUGGCUGGCCUUAGACAGCUGGAGGUUGCUUUCAAAAUGCCAACUCACUUGUAUUUUCUGAAAUUACCAGCAAGUACUGAACACUGGGCUCAGUUUUAUAUAACAAGUCUUCCUCAAAUUGCUAUGAAUAUUGCUAUGCAUAUAUUGGUCAAAAAUCACUCUGUAAAUAAAUGGAAGUAAAA